rnacentral:rRNA from 1 species
GACGAACGCUGGCGGCGUGCUUAACACAUGCAGGUCGAACGGAAAGGCCCUGCUUUUGUGGGGUGCUCGAGUGGCGAACGGGUGAGUAACACGUGAGUAACCUGCCCUUGACUUUGGGAUAACUUCAGGAAACUGGGGCUAAUACCGGAUAGGAGCUCCUGCUGCAUGGUGGGGGUUGGAAAGUUUCGGCGGUUGGGGAUGGACUCGCGGCUUAUCAGCUUGUUGGUGGGGUAGUGGCUUACCAAGGCUUUGACGGGUAGCCGGCCUGAGAGGGUGACCGGCCACAUUGGGACUGAGAUACGGCCCAGACUCCUACGGGAGGCAGCAGUGGGGAAUAUUGCUCAAUGGGCGGAAGCCUGAUGCAGCAACGCCGCGUGCGGGAUGACGGCCUUCGGGUUGUAAACCGCUUUCGCCUGUGACGAAGCGUGAGUGACGGUAAUGGGUAAAGAAGCACCGGCUAACUACGUG